rnacentral:rRNA from 1 species
AGUGAACGCUGGCGGCAGGCCUAACACAUGCAAGUCGAACGGUAGCACAGAGGAGCUUGCUCCUUGGGUGACGAGUGGCGGACGGGUGAGGAAUAUAUCGGAAUCUACCCAAUCGUGGGGGAUAACGUAGGGAAACUUACGCUAAUACCGCAUACGAUCUGAGGAUGAAAGCGGCGGACCGCAAGGCGUCGCGCGAUUGGAUGAGCCGAUAUCCGAUUAGCUAGUUGGUGAGGUAAUGGCCCACCAAGGCAACGAUCGGUAGCUGGUCUGAGAGGAUGAUCAGCCACACUGGAACUGAGACACGGUCCAGACUCCUACGGGAGGCAGCAGUGGGGAAUAUUGGACAAUGGGCGCAAGCCUGAUCCAGCCAUGCCGCGUGUGUGAAGAAGGCCUUCGGGUUGUAAAGCACUUUUGUUGGGGAAGAAAAG